GGCAGGAUCGUCUCCUUUCUUCAACUCUUUCCCUUUUCUCUGCCCUAUCUCUCGAAGGGUUUGGUUUUCUCUUCCUCACAUGCUCGAGGGCUUCCUUCAUAUUGCCAAAAUGAAUCACAAAUCUCAGACCCCCAAGCAGCUACAGCAAAACGACGUCGUCCUACUAAUUGGAACCCAAGGUCCAGUUGCAAGUGUAGCUGCAGCGUUUGCAUUCAGCCCAAUUAUUUAUUUUAAUCUACUGCAGUGGCCCAAUUUCAACUAAUCUUUCAAGCAGCGUCAGUGGUAGAAAAGCCAAGUGUAGCAGCGCCUAUCUCCAUUAGUGGCAGCAACAGUGUCGGCCCAAUUGUUUCCCUUUAAUUUGUCCAGCAACACCCCAUUUACUUGUGUCAUACAGCUUCUUCAGAUUCAACAUUGAGGUAUCAACAGUUUGCCCAAUUCACCAACCCAGCUUUCUAAGCAGUGUCCCAAGGAUCAAAGCCCAAUCAAUCCAAUCAGCAUUGCAAUGGGCAAUCUGCACCAAAGAAGAAAAAAAAUCAAAAUUAAAGAAAGAAAAGAAAAAAAUCAAAUGAAAGAAAAGAAUUUUUAUAAAAAUAUUUUCUAAAAAAAAAUAAAUUUUCUAAUUAUUUACAAAUGUACUAAAAAU
rnacentral:lncRNA from 1 species